rnacentral:rRNA from 1 species
GGAAAUCUCACCAGGCCCGGACACUGGAAGGAUUGACAGAUUGAUAGCUCUUUCUUGAUUCGGUGGGUUGUGGUGCAUGGCCGUUCUUAGUUGGUUGAGUGAUUUGUCUUGUUAAUUCCGUUAACGAACGAGACCUUAACCUGCUAAAUAGUGACGCGGUUCAUCGAACCGUGGGCCACUUCUUAGAGGGACUAUCGGAUUCAAACCGAUGGAAGUGUGAGGCAAUAA